UACGAGGGGGCGAGCGUUGUUCGGAAUUAUUGGGCGUAAAGGGUGCGUAGGCGGUUUGGUAAGUCUUGUGUGAAAUCUCCAGGCUCAACUUGGAGUCUGCACGAGAAACUGCCGGGCUUGAGUGUGGGAGAGGUGAGUGGAAUUCCUGGUGUAGCGGUGAAAUGCGUAGAUAUCUGGAAGAACACCGGUGGCGCAAGCGGAUUGCUGGGCCAUAACUGACACUGAGGAACGAAAGCUAGGGGAGCAAAUGGG
rnacentral:rRNA from 1 species